ensembl:lncRNA
GCUGCUACACAGCUGUACGGUGCAACCUGGAGAUGCUACGUACGAAAAGGGCAAUGAAAGCUGGAUUUCAGGAUUUCUAGCCAACUAUCGACCCACACCUGCCAUGAAUAACUAGGAAGCAUCGAGUAGCAGUGACUUUGGAAAUGGUGACUCAAGACUAUGUACUUGAAUGAAUAUGUGUGUGUGUGUGUGUGUGUGUGUGUGCUUGCAAGGUGGUUGUUCUUUUCCCUCUGUUUCCUGUCUCACUGCUCGUCUUUGAGCUUCAGAUUAUACCAUUUCCUCUCACACCUGUGACUGUGUCACGUCCUGAUCCUUCCACCCCUGCCCGUAUUUAUCUAUUCUUUUUAUUUCUCUCUCCCGCUCUCUCUCCCUCAAUGUAGGGGAUUUUGUUUUGGAAAAAUAUUUAGGCUGUGUCCUCAGUCUUUCUCAGCCUGGGGUCUAGCUUACCUGUGUCAACAUGGUGACGGCGCCAGGUGUACUGACGACCCUUGUGUUAACAGGAUUGUGUGUCCACGUCACAGGAUCAUCUAGAGCCGUCUGUACCACCCGUCUGUAUUCCCUGAACUUAAACUGUGUCCUGCAGUGGGAUUGUCCACAGGCGAACGCUACCACCACCUACACCGUCCAAACUAAGACUCAGGGUGAUUCGUGGCAGGACGUGGAGAGUUGUGUGCGGUUCUCCUCCCAGCUGUGUGACCUGUCCGAGGCCUUCUCUAACUUCGAGGUGUACAACAUGAUCCGCCUGGGCCUCCACCAGGGCCCGGGGAGUCCAGCCUGGACAGAAAAUCUGGGGUUUGGCGUCCGUGAUUUCAACUUCAGCAGCCCCUCUGUCUUGGUCUCUCUGUCUGGAGAGAUGCUGGGAGUGGAGGUGCACUUACCUUGUUCUAGCAAAAGGGAGUGUCUUCCUCUGCAGAGUUGCUGUCCACUGUCAAAAUUUAUUGACCUCUGGGUCACCGUGACAGUAUAUGACCGGCAGAACCCCUCCGACUACAAGACGCAGAUUGGUUUGGUCCAGACGAUGGUGUAUGGGGCAGAGUUCUCAAACCUGGUCCCAGGACAUGACUACUGUGUCGUGGCUAACUUCUCCAUCAGUCCGGCCACCUUCCCCCAGGCCUCGUCUCCUCCCUCGGACCCCAGUUGUGUCCACCAUGCUGGCCCAGGACUAGGGUUGCAGCCAGUGUUGUUGGGGAUAGGAGUGUGUGCUGUACUCUUCUCUCCUCUCCUUGCUCUGGCUCUGUACCUGCUGAAACAAAAACGAGAUGUACCACACGUAAACAGACUCCCCAAGUCUCUAGCAUCUCUUCAGGCAUUCCUCCAGGACCUACCGGAGUCCCCUUCAGACCCUGUUGACCCCAGUGACAUUGUAGACGACCACCUCUCCAUCCUGUCCUCUUUCUCCAGCUGUGUCUACACCGAGGCCCAGGCCCCAAGCCUGGGUAAUGGGUACAACAGCAACCCCUUCCUCCGUGACUAUAGGUCAGGCAACAUGCACUGGAACACUGAGAGAAUGGAGCUGGACCUGAACUCAGGCAGCACCAUAUCCCUGCCAUGCUCCACUGUGCCUAUAGGCCUGCAUAUGAUCCAGUGCAGCUUUGAUUCACCUCGACAACCACAUCCAGGGCCCAAUGUGCCAGUUCUACCGUACCCUGGUUCUCUAUCUCUGUCAGAGGCCGUGGAGGGCCAGGUGGUCCCGUUGUGUUCUGUGAGGUUUGGGAGGGUGAGUGAUGGGUGUGAGAACCUUGAGGGACUACAGUGGUGUAACCUGUAG